rnacentral:rRNA from 1 species
CGCGUAGGCGGCCCGGCAGGCCGGGGGUCGAAGCGGGGGGCUCAACCCCCCGAAGCCCCCGGAACCUCCGCGGCUUGGGUCCGGUAGGGGAGGGUGGAACACCCGGUGUAGCGGUGGAAUGCGCAGAUAUCGGGUGGAACACCGGUGGCGAAGGCGGCCCUCUGGGCCGAGACCGACGCUGAGGCGCGAAAGCUAGGGGAGCGAACA